AUGCUGCAGGUGGCGAGAAGAGGUGACUGCUUUUAGAGACCUGAGGGAGGAGGACAGAGCUUCUUGGAUCUUCAAGAGUGAUGCUACAUGAGGAGAGGCAAAAUGAUGCGUCUGAUUCAGAACCGUUCACUGAAGCUGUCAUCUUGUUUCUUUAAGACAAAUUCUUGGAUUGACCUGGAAGUCAUCAAGCAGGCUCCACUGGAUGGCCGUUUCAGUCCACCUCAGUGAGCUCUGAGUCCAUGAUGAGGCAGAGGGUCAUCAUGAGCAGCAUGUUGCUGAAGAAAGAAGCUGGAAGAAUAAAGAGAAGACAAGGGGAAGAAACAACACAUAGCUUCCCAGAGGCAUGCCCAUACUGGUUUACUUCCUUGGACCAUACUCUACCUUCUACUUUUUGUCACAUCCCAAUAAUGUCAUCUUAUAAUUAAUCUUUCAAGAGAUUAAUCCAUUGAAUAAAUCAGAGCCUAUAGAAUCCAAGGGUUUCUCAAAAGCCCAAGAGCUAGAAAACCUACUCUAUGUGUAGAGAUACUUCCUAUUAAAAUAAUAGUACAUAGUUGGUUGGUUGUUCAUAUAUUGAUUUUAUAUAUAUCAAUAAAAUGACCUUGGCUCAUUC